UGGUGCAAAAGUAAUUGUGGUUUUUGCCAUUGAAAGUAAUGGCAAAAACCUCAAUUACUUUUGCACCAACCU
rnacentral:miRNA from 1 species